AGAACUGCACCCAUGAAAAAGAGCACUGUGCUCCAGCUCCAAGUUACAGAUUGAGAUUCAGUGUCUGAAAUAAGUCUGAACUUUGAUGCUGUUUCCACCUGAAUCAGUCUCAGUGGGUCCACUGAGCAGUAAUUCUGAACCAGAUCUGCCCAAAGCCUCAGUAAUGGAUCAACAAACGAGGUCUGCAUCAGAGUCCACUUGCAUGGCAAGAUGGAUCCAAAAUGGGAAAACCUGAGCUGUGGAGAGUGCAGAAGAGGAAGUCCUUUUGUUUGCAGAGUGGAUUUGUUUGGAGCGU